rfam:Arthrobacter arilaitensis RE117 chromosome, complete sequence.
ACACCAUCCCGAGCGGCUGAGAGAUCUGGUUCGUUGACGCCGCAGCAACCUGCCACAUCCGGUGGCAACGGUGCUACCGCCAGAAACGAUGCAGC